rnacentral:sRNA from 1 species
AAACGCGAAAAAAACAGUGUGUUCACA